rnacentral:snRNA from 1 species
GUGCUCACUUUGGCAGCACAUAUACUAAAAUUGGAAUGAUACAAAGAUUAGCAUGGCCCCUUCACAAAUCUGUGAAGCGUUCCAUAUUUAU